rnacentral:tRNA from 6 species
GGAGAGAUGGCCGAGUGGUUUAUGGCUCCGGUCUUGAAAACCGGUAUAGUUUUAGCGCUAUCGAGGGUUCGAAUCCCUCUCUCUCCU